UAUUAAUCUAAUAAUAUAGCCUCUUUCAUUGUUUUGACUUUUUGAAGAUUGGGUACCCUGUGUUACAGGUGUAUUUGAGAACCCGCUGUUCAGUUUAUCUGCAGUAAUUGUUGACUUGUAUACUCCUGMAGGCUCCUGUUGAUGAUUGCUUAUGUCUGACUUUUGAUUGAUAUUUACGACUUUUGCUUUCGCCGUUCGUUUCAUCUAAUCUGUUCACUGUUCAGCUUCUGUCAUCAUAUUGCCCGUGGUGUCAGAAUUGGCCACGAACCACAUCCGCCUCGAAAUGAGCUCUAGUGGUGCCAAAAACAUGGCGGACCUCGAAGCUGAACAAGAGCUAUUUCUCGAAGAUGGCACUGAAUUGGGCCCUUCGCUUACUAAAGAACGAACUUUAGCCAGUAUGCUUAAGAAAAAGACUUUGCCUAUGUAUCUACAAUUUGUUUUCUUCGGAAUGGGAACUGUUUUGCCAAUAUUUGUCAUAUUCGCUGCCGUGGACUACUUCGACGACAUCUUCCCAAAAAGCGAACCAGAGUUCGCUCUGAACGUGAUUUACAACCCGCUACUCUUCUGCGGUUCGUUUGCCAACCUCGUUUGGGGAAGAGGAUCUAGUUUCAAGUGGCGAAUUGUGUAUAGCUUCGCUGUCAUGGCAUUAUCGAUGUUGGGGUUUAUCGCUUUUGAUAGGCUUGAGCUGUGUGGUGCGACAUGUUUACAGUCCCAUUACUGGGCUGUUCUUGGUGUUGCGGGCGUCUUGGGUUUAGCAGAUGCAGUCUGUCAGUCAACAUUGUUUGGAUUGACGAGUCAUGCUUUGCCUCCUUUGUACACUCAGGGAUUGAUGUUUGGUGCAAGUCUGUGUGGUUUCCUUGUGACUCUCCUUCGAAUUAUWACCAAAAGUACCACUACCAAAAUGAACAUUUCCAGUUACUAUUACUUUGGUGCCACCUCUUUCUUCAUYGCYAUUGCUAUUGGYCUUUUCAUCCGACUUACAAAAGGCAGGGCUUUCCAAAGAUACUAUUACCGYGCAGCAAAAUACAACUUGGAUAAAGAUUUAAGGCAUCCUUUUAAGAGACUUGCUUGCUUCUCCUUUGAAGCUAUCAAAGUUCUUAGUUACAAGCGAGUUUUUUGUUAUUGCUUCCUUUUAAUGACAAUUCAACUACAGCUGUUUAUGGUGAUGCCUUCGGUGGUAACCAUGGCAAAGGAUUUCCUUGGCAAUGGCUGGUACCCAGUCCUUCUYGUCCUGGUGUACAAUAUAGGUGAUGUGAUUGGUCGCGGCCCUAUGUCCUUGUACUACAACUAUARCCUCUGCUGGGCGUGGCUCUCCACGUUUGUACGAUUUUCAYUGGUUAUAGGUAUAUGUCUUAGYGUUCCUCCCUACAUGUUAAGUCGACGCCCGGCCUGGAUGGCGACGUUUGUUGGCCUAUUGGGGCUCUCAACUGGACAUUUGAACACAUCCUUAAUGUCUCAUGCAUCAAUAGAUGUACCYGGUAAAGCAAAAGAGACUGUAGGAUACCUUGGAGUACUUAGUAUGACAUUGGGUAUGGCACUGGGGAGUGCAUUAAGCCUGGGACUUAAAGCAUUGAUUGAAAGAGUUAAUURAUUAAGUGACACACUUUUAAGCAGAACAUUUAGUGUAAGACAGCUUGAUGUGAAUAAUCCAAUGACAAUAAGCAAUGAGAACAGAAACAGGAAUUAAAAAACAACAGGCAAAUGAGCAAAAGGUCGAAAGGGAUGCUGGUGGACUAGUCCCUAGUGUAAAGAUAGUGCUGGGAACUACAAAAAAUGAAGUAUUUAACCCUCAAAAGCCCAUGAAUAAUAAUAAUAAUAAUGAAAGCUUAAUUUCUUUGUUUUCCAUUUGUAGUUAUGAACUUGUAUCCAUUAAAUAGCAAAUUGGAAUUGUAUUUUUUCACAGGUUUUUGAAAACCAUCCUUCGCUAGUGAAAAUAGAUAGAGAAUAUAAGAAGUUAAUUUAAUUCUUUUAAAUAAUUUUAAAAUAGUUUUUAUUUAGUGUGGUUUUCAAAAAACCAUGUGAGGUCAUUAAACCCAUGAAAAAAACUUUAACCAUUAAUGUGUGAUAGUCAAAUAGACACAAACGAAAACAAUGAAAUUAGAGUUUACUUAGGUAUCAGUGUAUAUAUAUUUCACGGGUUGUUUGACUUCACUCGUAAUACAGUGCAAAUGACAUCCCAAUAGAAUAGAUAAAAAAUAACAAAACUGGUGAAAUGUUUACUUUCACUUUAGAUCUCACUUAGAAAUCACUGUAAUUCUAUAACUCACAGUCCACACUGGAGUGAGAUGAACCAGUGAGCACGAACGAUAGUUGUCUGUGAAUAAUUUAUUGUGUGUAGGCGUGAAGGUUUUUAUUGUAAUUUGCAUGCUUACUGGUUAUGUCUCUAUUUGACAUUAGUGGUGGUUACCUUUCAGAAUAGUGCAGGUAAUUAUGAACGACAAUCAUGCACUUAAUUUGUGAAAUAGUGACUAAUUUUGUUGCUCCGAAUAUGGUUUUAUUAUGAACUAAAUACAUGAACAUGAACACACCAGGGAUAUUUAUUACUUUUUCAUUUUGUUUAAUUGAUCAAUAGACCAAUCCAGCAUUCGCUUGGAUGAACAAGGAACAAUGGCUUCAUUUCGAGGCUGGAG